GCGGACAUAGCUCAGCUGGUAGAGCGCUGGCUUCCCAAGCCAGAGGCCACGGGUUCAAAUCCCGUUGUCCGCUCCA
rnacentral:tRNA from 1 species